GACGAACGCUGGCGGCGUGCUUAACACAUGCAAGUCGAACGGAAAGGCCUGCUUUCCCUUGUGGAUUGCGGGUACUUGAGUGGCGAACGGGUGAGUAACACGUGAGUGAUCUGCCCCCAACUUGGGUAUAAGCCUGGGAAACUGGGUCUAAUUCCCGAUAGGACUGCAGGGUGGUGCCUGUGGUGGAAAACGAUUUUCUAGUGGUUGGGGAUGAGCUCGCGGCCUAUCAGCUUGUUGGUGGGGUAAUGGCCUACCAAGGCGGCGACGGGUAGCCGGCCUGAGAGGGUGGACGGCCACAUUGGGACUGAGAUACGGCCCAGACUCCUACGGGAGGCAGCAGUGGGGAAUAUUGCACAAUGGGCGGAAGCCUGAUGCAGCGACGCCGCGUGGGGGAUGACGGCCUUCGGGUUGUAAACUCCUUUCGACCGCGAGGAAGCCACCUGGUUGGAAGGGUGGUGACGGUAGUGGUAGAAGAAGCACCGGCUAACUACGUG
rnacentral:rRNA from 1 species